rnacentral:lncRNA from 1 species
UACAAGCUAUAAUAUGUGGAAAGUUGGCAUCAUCAAGGUUUGUUGCAAUCAUCCCAAAAGCCUUCCUUUCACGACGUUUGUACUGCUUCUUCUCUUUGAUAUCAAUAUUUUCACUUGGAGGGUCUUCACUUUCAUCAACAAUGUCCCAAAGGUCCAAUGAAGCCAACAAAAGCUCAAUUUUCUUCUUCCAAUGGUAAAAGUUGUCACCCCUAAACUUCUCAAUCACUCUCAAGCUUUUAUCCUUACUUGAAGCCAUGUCUAAGGAAGGGGUGUGUGAAAGAAAAUCAAGAAAAGAAGAUAUAGAACUCUCAAAAUCAACAAGAAGGUGUUGCUGCCUUAGAAACCUAGAAUGCCCUCUUUGUAAGUAAACAAGUGAUUUCACUCUUGUAUCACUCUCA